rnacentral:hammerhead_ribozyme from 1 species
AGCCGAAACCGCCCCCAGCGGGCGGUACGGCGGGGGUGCCUCCCCGCUGCUGACGAGGCAGGCAGAC